GAAUUGUUCGCAAUGGGCGCAAGCCUGACGACGCAACGCCGCGUGGAGGACGAAGACCUUCGGGUCGUAAACUCCUUUCGAUCGAGACGAACGGCCUUUGGGCUAAUCACCAGAGGAGUGACGGUACCGAGAGAAGAAGCCCCGGCUAACUCCGUGCCAGCAGCCGCGGUAAUACGGGGGGGGCAAGCGUUGUUCGGAAUUACUGGGCGUAAAGGGCUCGUAGGUGGCCAACUAAGUCAGACGUGAAAUCCCUCGGCUUAACCGGGGAACUGCGUCUGAUACUGGAUGGCUUGAGUUUGGGAGAGGGAUGCGGAAUUCCAGGUGUAGCGGUGAAAUGCGUAGAUAUCUGGAGGAACACCGGUGGCGAAGGCGGCAUCCUGGACCAACACUGACACUGAUGAGCGAAAGCCAGGGGAGCAAACGG
rnacentral:rRNA from 1 species